UUCGAUCCUUUUUCUUUUCUCCUCUUUUUUCUUCUUCUUUUCUCUUCUUUUCCCUCAACUAAAACCCUAGGUGUAGACUAGGAUUAUAAAACUGAACCUAAUCAUAUUAGACCCCUAAAAUAUUACUAAAAACGAAUCAAAUCUGUUUGGGUAAGGAAAAGACCAAAAUACCCUUUACUAUUUCCGGUUUUUACUUUCCUUAAC
rnacentral:lncRNA from 1 species